AUCGCUCCUUGGUUUAACAUACGGACGCUACAACGUGGAAAGUACCGUUAAUACCGUCUUUGGGGAAGAAGCCGUUGGGCUCCCGCGCGUUGGUCGCGACUGACGACAAUAAGGCUUGUGUUACACAAAAAGGAUAAGCGAUGGCUGCCCGUAGGUCCAGGCUGCUUCCGGUAUGGGACGCCAUCGAUUAUGCGGCCAAGGGCCUCGAUAAGAAUGCGGAAUUGGAAGUAAAGUACAUCAACUCCUUUAAAGGUCGAGGCGUGUUUGCCAAGGCUCCUUUCCAAAAGGGAGACUUUGUGGUGGAAUAUAGAGGGGUGUUAAUAAGCUCUGAAGAAUCUCAGAGGAGAAAAUCGAUCUAUCACGCCAGAUGCUCGGUCUUCAUGUUUGAUUUCUACUGCCGAGAAAAGGCAUGGUGUGUUGAUGCAGCUCAAGAAGAUGGCAGCCUGGGACGACUGGUCAACGAUGACCGUUACCAUCCCAACUGCAAGAUGAAGAAGGUCAUCACCGAUGGAAAGCCACACCUCUUUCUCUUUGCUCUGAGGGACAUCGCUGUCGGGGAAGAGAUAACUUAUGAAUAUGAUGGAAAAUACUAUCCAUGGAGGAAACAGGAAUCGGAUGGACCAGAACAUCGUCUUCCAAUGAAAAUAUGACUCUGAGUUCUGACUCUGAAGUUGACCUCGCCGAAGACGAGUCGGAUUCUGCCCCACAGCGGAGGAGGCCCCAAAACCAAACGGAGAAGGAUUCUAGUGACUCAGACCUGAUGUGGUGAUCCCGUCACAAACUGAGUGAGCUGGAGGACAACCUCUCCUUCGAGGAGCAUUCGGUGCGUAGCGGCCUUCGGUGGCAAAACGAACCAACACCCGCAAGACACUGCGUCAAACGGCCUGGGGAGAUUUGGAGGCGCGCUCAGACGGAUUGACCGGAGCAGCGCUCUGCACGGGGCAAAUUGGGAACAGCUGGUGGUGCCGACAGGAUUUCAGAAGUGUGUGUUUAGCGCCCCCCCACUCCCCCAGAGGCGGAGCUGAUCGUCAUGUUUCUACAUCAGCUCAGAGCGGACAAAAACCACCUGAGUCAUUAUUUCAUUUGCCUUUAUAUUUACUCUUUGUAUAUAUGCGUGUUAAAAAACCAACAACAACCGUACCUGUUAAAAGUUUGAAGUAUGGAAGUAAAGAUAUAAUGACUUUUUAUCUUUUGUUUUGUUGGAACACCCCUUUUAAAUCCCUCCAGCUUUCUGUUCUCCCCCUCUUACAGCUGUUAGGGCGCCACGUCAGUUGAUUUGCGCGGAGGGGGGAGGGGGGUAGUUUAAAGAGCUCUGUAUAUGGUGGUCUCCAGCAGCACGGUCCAUAUCCCAUUAUCAGACCUGGAUGCAGAUGUGAAACUCUUACAGAAUCAAAGGGCCCCUUCAGCUCUCACUGGAUCCUCGCCGGUAGCACAGGGUGGUUCAUUUCACGUGAUUCACGAUUCACAUUGAUC